UUUGGUCAGCUUGGCAGCCCGCUAACCUCGAUGAUGGAGUACUGGUAGAUGAAUCGUGGACGUAGUUUUAAAGAUGACAGGAAGCGUUAUCAGGACCAAAGCCGUGAGGCAGUGAAAUGAAGGUCGUAUCACCCAACAGCCUAGGAUACAGCCCUCGGACGUUAAUCGGCAUAACACUCCCCAUAAUAUAAUGGUUUUGGAGUGCAUGUUAACGCGGGUACGCCAACCGCUACGUCUAUCUG
rnacentral:lncRNA from 1 species